rnacentral:rRNA from 1 species
GAUGAACGCUGGCGGCGUGCCUAAUACAUGCAAGUCGAGCGAACAGACGAGGAGCUUGCUCCUCUGACGUUAGCGGCGGACGGGUGAGUAACACGUGGAUAACCUACCUAUAAGACUGGGAUAACUUCGGGAAACCGGAGCUAAUACCGGAUAAUAUAUUGAACCGCAUGGUUCAAUAGUGAAAGACGGUUUUGCUGUCACUUAUAGAUGGAUCCGCGCCGCAUUAGCUAGUUGGUAAGGUAACAGCUUACCAAGGCAACGAUGCGUAGCCGACCUGAGAGGGUGAUCGGCCACACUGGAACUGAGACACGGUCCAGACUCCUACGGGAGGCAGCAGUAGGGAAUCUUCCGCAAUGGGCGAAAGCCUGACGGAGCAACGCCGCGUGAGUGAUGAAGGUCUGCGGAUCGUAAAACUCUGUUAUUAGGGAAGAACAAAUGUGUAAGUAACUAUGCACGUCUUGACGGUACCUAAGCAGAAAGCCACGGCUAACUACGU